rnacentral:lncRNA from 1 species
GAGAACACAUUUUCCAGUUGAGUAAACAUCUUUAAUAAAGAAGCAGAAUCAAAUAAAAGUUUGCUUUUAUUUGGGUACACAUAAAAGUUCAUUUUAAUUGAAGGUUAAAAUUCAUACAGGGACAAGCAAAGAUGAGGCUAGAUAGAUAGGUCUAGAAAUUCAAUGGAGUAGGGGGAAAGAUAGAUCCUGAAAUAAAAGGAAAAAGCAAACAAGAAGCUGUGAUUAACAGACAAUAUUA